rnacentral:SRP_RNA from 1 species
GCCGGGCAUGGUGGCUCAUGCCUGUGGUCCCAGCUACUCAGGAGGCUGAGGCAGGAGGAUUGCUUGAGCCCAGGAGUUGGAGGCUACACUGAGCUAUGAUGGCACCACUGCACUCCAGCCUAGGCAACAGAGCGAGACUCUGUCUCUA